GUUUAGUUUUUAUUUUUUGAAAAUGCUUUGUUUUACUUGAGUUUUUAUUAGUUUCAGUAUUAGUUUGAGUCUUUUUUGUAACAUGGGUUAGUUGUCAGGGGCGUCAGUCAGGAUGUUCUUGCGUAUGGUACUGACCAGCAGCUAUCGGGGUCGCUGGUGGAAGCAGUGCAUCACUGUUUUCUGCCCUCCGGUUGUCUUGGCUCCAUCAUGCUGCCUGUCCGGGGGUUAGCUUCUGAUUCAGGGAAAGGGGGCUGGGCGCUCUGCCUUUCCUUGACAAGCAGAGAAAUCCUCCCGACUCUCCAGGAGCUGAAGAGCGCUCCAAACUGACCACGGUGUAUGAUAAGAUCCAGGGACAUCGCAUCACUCCUGCAGAAACAGAAGCUUGUUACUGAGACUAAACUGCAAACUCCUCACAUGCAUGAGCAGCUAUCUAACACAGUUUACAAUAUUAACCUUCAAUGUUAAACUGCAGCUUCUGUUACUGUUAUUGUUACGCUGACUGUGUGUUUACAUUCAUUGCUCUUUAUACUGCUGUAAUAAAAUGUGUCUCAAAGUG